rnacentral:tRNA from 1 species
AAGGAUUUAAGUUACGCAAACUAGUAGCCUUCAAAGCUGAAAACAGGAGAAUUUUUCUAAGCCUUA